UGCGACCCCCCUCUGUGAGGAGGCACCCCGAUGAAAUACAGCAAAACAAUCUGGUUUUUAUUUUUAAUUUUUUUGUCAAUAUGAACUUCACAAGUCCACCUCUUCCCUUUUCGUCCGUCUGAAGGAACUGAGAUUAAUCCAACGGUUACUAGAAAACUUAGAAACGUUUGGGAAAACUAACCUUUUCGUCCGAAAGCAAGCACUGAU
rnacentral:lncRNA from 1 species